rnacentral:rRNA from 1 species
ACAAUGAAGAGUUUGAUCCUGGCUCAGGAUGAACGCUAGCUACAGGCUUAACACAUGCAAGUCGAGGGGCAUCAGGAAGAAAGCUUGCUUUCUUUGCUGGCGACCGGCGCACGGGUGAGUAACACGUAUCCAACCUGCCCUUUACUCGGGGAUAGCCUUUCGAAAGAAAGAUUAAUACCCGAUAGCAUAAUGAUUCCGCAUGGUUUCAUUAUUAAAGGAUUCCGGUAAAGGAUGGGGAUGCGUUCCAUUAGGUUGUUGGUGAGGUAACGGCUCACCAAGCCUUCGAUGGAUAGGGGUUCUGAGAGGAAGGUCCCCCACAUUGGAACUGAGACACGGUCCAAACUCCUACGGGAGGCAGCAGUGAGGAAUAUUGGUCAAUGGGCG